UACGGAGGGUGCGAGCGUUGUCCGGAAUCACUGGGCGUAAAGAGUGCGCAGGCGGCCGCGCAAGUCGAGUGUGAAAGCCCCGGGCUUAACUUGGGAAUUGCGCUCGAAACUACGUGGCUGGAGUGUGGCAGAGGAAGGUGGAAUUCCACGUGUAGCGGUGAAAUGCGUAGAGAUGUGGAGGAACACCAAUGGCGAAGGCAGCCUUCUGGGCCAACACUGACGCUCAUGCACGAAAGCGUGGGGAGCAAACAGG
rnacentral:rRNA from 1 species